UCUAAAGUUCAUGAGGUGGUCAUGGGGUUUCUAGGGUUAGUUUGGGCCCUAGGACUUCUAGGGUUAGUUUGGGCCCUAGGAUAAAAGGCUAUCAGUCUUUUGGAUCUUGAGGUCUAAGGAUUUUGAGUCUUGAGAGGCUAACUUAUAUUUGGACUAAGAUUGAGUUCAAGAUUAUGAGAUUGAGUCAACUCAUGAGUAUACAU
rnacentral:lncRNA from 1 species